rnacentral:rRNA from 1 species
UGGCUCAGGACGAACGCUGGCGGCGUGCUUAACACAUGCAAGUCGAACGAUGAAGCCCUUCGGGGUGGAUUAGUGGCGAACGGGUGAGUAACACGUGGGCAAUCUGCCCUUCACUCUGGGACAAGCCCUGGAAACGGGGUCUAAUACCGGAUAACACUCUGUCCCGCAUGGGACGGGGUUAAAAGCUCCGGCGGUGAAGGAUGAGCCCGCGGCCUAUCAGCUUGUUGGUGGGGUAAUGGCCUACCAAGGCGACGACGGGUAGCCGGCCUGAGAGGGCGACCGGCCACACUGGGACUGAGACACGGCCCAGACUCCUACGGGAGGCAGCAGUGGGGAAUAUUGCACAAUGGGCGAAAGCCUGAUGCAGCGACGCCGCGUGAGGGAUGACGGCCUUCGGGUUGUAAACCUCUUUCAGCAGGGAAGAAGCGAAAGUGACGGUACCUGCAGAAGAAGCGCCGGCUAACUACGUGCCAGCAGCCGCGGUAAUACGUAGGGCGCAAGCGUUGUCCGGAAUUAUUGGGCGUAAAGAGCUCGUAGGCGGCUUGUCACGUCGGAUGUGAAAGCCCGGGGCUUAACCCCGGGUCUGCAUUCGAUACGGGCUAGCUAGAGUGUGGUAGGGGAGAUCGGAAUUCCUGGUGUAGCGGUGAAAUGCGCAGAUAUCAGGAGGAACACCGGUGGCGAAGGCGGAUCUCUGGGCCAUUACUGACGCUGAGGAGCGAAAGCGUGGGGAGCGAACAGGAUUAGAUACCCUGGUAGUCCACGCCGUAAACGUUGGGAACUAGGUGUUGGCGACAUUCCACGUCGUCGGUGCCGCAGCUAACG